rnacentral:rRNA from 1 species
UACGUAGGGUGCAAGCGUUAUCCGGAAUUAUUGGGCGUAAAGAGCUCGUAGGCGGUUUGUCGCGUCUGCUGUGAAAACUGGAGGCUCAACCUCCAGCCUGCAGUGGGUACGGGCAAACUAGAGUGCGGUAGGGGAGAUUGGAAUUCCUGGUGUAGCGGUGGAAUGCGCAGAUAUCAGGAGGAACACCGGUGGCGAAGGCGGGUCUCUGGGCAGUAACUGACGCUGAGGAGCGAAAGCGUGGGGAGCAAACAGG